rnacentral:rRNA from 1 species
GGAAUAUUGGUCAAUGGAGGCAACUCUGAACCAGCCAUGCCGCGUGCAGGAAGACAGCCCUCUGGGUCGUAAACUGCUUUUAUUCGGGAAUAAACCUACUUACGUGUAAGUAGCUGAAUGUACCGAAGGAAUAAGGAUCGGCUAACUCCGUGCCAGCAGCCGCGGUAAUACGGAGGAUCCAAGCGUUAUCCGGAUUUAUUGGGUUUAAAGGGUGCGUAGGCGGCUUAUUAAGUCAGGGGUGAAAGACGGUGGCUCAACCAUCGCAGUGCCCUUGAUACUGAUGAGCUUGAAUACACUAGAGGUAGGCGGAAUGUGACAAGUAGCGGUGAAAUGCAUAGAUAUGUCACAGAACACCGAUUGCGAAGGCAGCUUACUAUGGUGUGAUUGACGCUGAGGCACGAAAGCGUGGGGAUCAAACAGGAUUAGAUACCCGAG